UUCAAUGUACCUUUGCACAUUAUUUCUGUCUAAAUAAUUAUUCAAUACUUUCUCGAAUGCCUCAACUGAACCGGUCUCCAUCACUCAUCUUGGCAGUGCAUUCUAGACCCUAAUUACGAGUGUUUAGAAGCAGCCAAGUUGCCAAUUCAACAUUGGCUGGAUAUGAAUUCUGCUGGGAUGACAUCUGUGGAGAAGAAAUUCAGAGCUGUGUCAAUAUUCCAUUUUUAAAACACCUGUUUGAGAUGUAGCCUGAGGUGAAACCUUUUCGAAGACCACUGAACAGAAGAGAAUUGGAGACAGUCCCAAGGAUCCCUGCUGCUGGGCAUGUGCAGAAGCCAGAGACAAAAGCUGUGGAGGCAGACAGAAGAUGAAGCCAUCAUGAAUGGAGUCUGCCGCAUUCGUCAAUGCCUCAACAGACUGUGUAUAGAAUUGGAACCAACUCCUUUGUAAUCCAGUAAACUCUGAGCAUCCUUUUCAUCGUCUCAAUGCUGCUGCAUUAGAAAUGCUUAGAUGUUUGUAUCUAUUAUUCACAGUUUCUGGAUGG